rnacentral:rRNA from 1 species
ACGCUAGCUACAGGCUUAACACAUGCAAGUCGAGGGGCAGCAUGGAAGAAGCUUGCUUCUUCUGAUGGCGACCGGCGCACGGGUGCGUAACGCGUAUCAAACCUGCCUCAUACUCGGGGAUAGCCUUGCGAAAGUAAGAUUAAUACCCGAUGUUGUUAUGUUGCCGCAUGGUGAUAUAACCAAAGAUUUAUCGGUAUGAGAUGGUGAUGCGUCCGAUUAGGUAGUAGGCGGGGUAACGGCCCACCUAGCCUUCGAUCGGUAGGGGUUCUGAGAGGAAGGUCCCCCACACUGGAACUGAGACACGGUCCAGACUCCUACGGGAGGCAGCAGUGAGGAAUAUUGGUCAAUGGACGCAAGUCUGAACCAGCCAAGUAGCGUGCAGGAUGACGGCCCUCCGGGUUGUAAACUGCUUUUAGUUGGGAAUAAAAAAGAGGACGUGUCCUCUAUUGUAUGUACCUUCAGAAAAAGGACCGGCUAAUUCCGUGCCAGCAGCCGCGGUAAUACAGAAGGUCCAGGCGUUAUCCGGAUUUAUUGGGUUUAAAGGGAGCGUAGGCGGAUUAUUAAGUCAGUGGUGAAAGACGGUGGCUCAACCAUCGUUAGCCAUUGAAACUGGUAGUCUUGAGUGCAGACAGGGAUGCUGGAACUCGUGGUGUAGCGGUGAAAUGCUUAGAUAUCACGAUGAACUCCGAUCGCGAAGGCAGGUGUCCGGGCUGCAACUGACGCUGAGGCUCGAAAGUGUGGGUAUCAAACAGGAUUAGAUACCCUGGUAGUCCACACAGUAAACGAUGUAUACUCGCGGUUUGCGAUACAUGUAAGCCGCCAAGCGAAAGCAUUAAGUAUACCACCUGGGGAGUACGCCGGCAACGGUGAAACUCAAAGGAAUUGACGGGGGCCCGCACAAGCGGAGGAACAUGUGGUUU